GAUGAACGCUGGCGGCGUGCCUAAUACAUGCAAGUCGAGCGAACAGACGAGGAGCUUGCUCCUCUGACGUUAGCGGCGGACGGGUGAGUAACACGUGGAUAACCUACCUAUAAGACUGGGAUAACUUCGGGAAACCGGAGCUAAUACCGGACAAUAUAUUGAACCGCAUGGUUCAAUAGUGAAAGACGGUUUUGCUGUCCCUUAUAGAUGGAUCCGCGCCGCAUUAGCUAGUUGGUAAGGUAACGGCUUACCAAGGCAACGAUGCGUAGCCGACCUGAGAGGGUGAUCGGCCACACUGGAACUGAGACACGGUCCAGACUCCUACGGGAGGCAGCAGUAGGGAAUCUUGCGCAAUGGGCGAAAGCCUGACGGAGCAACGCCGCGUGAGUGAUGAAGGUCUUCGGAUCGUAAAACUCUGUUAUUAGGGAAGAACAAAUGUGUAAGUAACUAUGCACGUCUUGACGGUACCUAAUCAGAAAGCCACGGCUAACUACGUG
rnacentral:rRNA from 1 species